CAGCUGGGCCGGACGGUCGCUGUCGCAAGACAGAGGAAAGUCCGAACUCCGCAGGGCAGUGUGCCGGAUAACGUCCGGGACGGCGGAUUCAAGUCCGCUGGACGGAAAGUGCCACAGAAAACAUACCGCCGGGCCGCAAGGUUCCGGUAAGGGUGAAAAGGUGCGGUAAGAGCGCACCGCCGCGGCAGUAAUGCAGCGGGCAGGGCAAACCCCACACGGAGCAAGACCAAAUAGGGAGGAAGCUCCAGAAGACCGGGGCGCGUGCCGGCUCGGUGCGCCACAACCUCCGGGUAGGUCGCUAGAGCCCCGCAGUAAUGUGUGGCCCAGAGGAAUGACCGUCCUGCCGGAAACGGCAGACAGAAUUCGGCUUACAGGUCCGGCUGCCAC
rnacentral:RNase_P_RNA from 1 species